GCCGGCCCGUCAUGGCGGCGCCCAGCGAGGCGCGGGAGCGGCGGCCUUUCGGGAGGCGCUUCCUCACCGACCCCGCCCGGCUCUUCCAGCACAAUGCCUGGGACAAUGUGGAAUGGUCAGAAGAGCAGGAAGCCAGUGCCAGGAGUAAAGUUCAAGAGAACAGCUCACAACUAUUGCCACAAGAUAAACAAGAGGAAUAUGAGGUGAACGCUAAGAAAUACUGGGAUGACUUCUAUAAAAUCCACGAAAAUGGCUUCUUCAAGGACAGGCACUGGCUGUUCACUGAAUUUCCUGAGCUGGCACCUAACAGGAACUCAAGCCAAAAUGGAGAUUCUGUGCAUGAAUUUAGUAACACAGAAGAAUCCAACAAUGAAGGGCUGGGAAGCUGUGAAAAUGGCCAUUGCUCGUUGGAAACCAGGACAAAGAGUCAGUUAAACCUGAUAAAAAGCCCAGCUGGGGGCUGCACAGAGGAGUUGGCUGCACAGAAGGACAGUGAGCUGAGUCAGAGUGAUGGGGAUUACCCUGGAUCAGCUGCAUCUUACCGUAUACUAGAGGUUGGCUGUGGGGCUGGGAAUACAGUUUUCCCAAUUUUACAAACCAACAAUGACCCAGGCCUGUUUGUUUAUUGCUGUGACUUUUCUGCAACAGCUGUGGAUCUUGUCCAGAACAAUGCAGAAUAUGAUACUUCUCGCUGCUUUGCAUUUGUCCAUGACCUGUGCAAUGACCAAAGUCCCUUCCCAAUGCCAGAAGAGAGUCUUGACAUUGUUAUUCUUAUCUUUGUCCUCUCAGCAAUUCUCCCGGAGAAGAUGCAGUGCAUCGUGACCAGACUGAGUCGCCUUCUGAAACCGGGCGGAAUGAUCUUGUUACGAGAUUACGGCCGCUAUGAUCUUGCCCAGCUUCGGUUUAAGAAAGGUCAAUGUCUGUCUGAUAACUUCUAUGUGAGAGGUGAUGGCACCAGAGUCUACUUCUUCACACAAGAUGAAUUAGAUCAUCUCUUCACCACAGCUGGGCUGAAGAAAAUCCAGAAUCUGGUUGAUCGGCGAUUGCAAGUGAACCGUGGGAAGCAGAUGACGAUGUAUCGGGUGUGGAUCCAGUGCAAGUACUGCAAACCCACCGUCCUUCAGCCAUGAGGCGUGUGGGCUUUGGGCUGGAGCCUCUUCAUCUCCUCCUGGUGACAUGUGUGUGGUGGAGUUCUGCACAGCCAGGACCUCAGUGCCUUGUACCAUGCCUGGCAUCACUUCAAGUAUUGCUUUGUCUGCUACCUGAAGGCUUCUGGGUCAGGACAUUUCAGCCCUCCCUGGGAAAGGUUACCCAGGGAAUCCAUUCACAGCACACAGGCUGCGGUGCUGGGACAAUGGAAAUGCACCAUUGCUUUUUUGUAUAUCUGUCUCUUUUAAAUAAUGUUGAAUGAAAUCAAAUUAUUUUUUUGGAGGGGAAUGGGAGUCAAAUAUCUGGGAAGAGAAUUCUUGUUCAGUUUGUUGUAGUGUAUUUUCUAAAGGGCCAAGAACCUUUCCAUCAUCUGCAAAUGAAACAGGAGGAGGUAAAGCUUCUGUCUUCUGGAGCACAUUUGGCUUCUGCUGAGCACAAGCCUGACGCACCCCAGAAGCUCUGCAGUCGCUGCUGUGUUUUCAUGCUAAACCUACAACGUCUGGUUCCCUGGCAAGGCUGAGGCCUCAGGCAAGGUCUAGGCAAAACACAGCUCAAGGCCUCUGGCAGCAGGUGAGCAAGCUGAAGUCUCCUCAGCUUAUCCAGGCACAGAGUCAGGCUUAGCAAGAGCCCUGUGAGCGUUGGACCUGACGUGACUCGUGUAACCGCCUCAGUGACAGACCUCCUGUGUGUUACUGGGGCCUCAGGCAGUUCCUUGGGGUCCUUUCCCUCUUGGGCCCUGGAGGAAGACCUCUUCCCGGGAUAGCUUUAUCUCCCUGCAAGAAAAAUUCUUGACUGGGGUAAACAAUCAGCAUAAUUAGUGUGAAUUAAAGUAAUUUGAAAAAUGCCUUCUUAAUCAUCCAAAGGCUUGAAAGCAGUGCAGGAAAAUAUGUUUUUAAUUAUAAACAUGAUUUAUGUAAAGUUGAUGGACUCCCCUUUAAAUUCAAACUCCUGAAUGGGAGAAAAUGAAGGCUAUUUAUUUGUUUGUUUGUGCUUUCAAGGUUGUAUCCCAGUUGCCUGGUUUUAACUUGGGCUUCAUGCAAAAACUUGCAGCCCUGUGAGCCUGGAGCCAGUGAAGUAGCUCUUUGCCUUUCUUAAUGCUCUUAGUUCUGCUGCAGUAUUUAAGCAGUCACUCAGCAGGGCCCAUGCUGGGCAGACGUGCUUUUGUUUCCAGUUCUCUUGGUGGUGUUCAGAAAGCAACAAGUUAAUGGCCUUGAAUUGAGCCAGGCCUCCUACAGACAGAUACUGUUUGAGCUUCCUUCACUAAUCCCUGCCAGCUUCUGUUCUCUCAGAAGCUGCUCCGCUCCUGCCACUCCAGGCCUUGCCUCCCACACAGCUCUGCUCAGGUACCUCGGUCCUGACUUGCAGCAGCUCCUGCCAUUCCCACCUUGGGCCUGCUGGGCAGGCUGGGUUGCUCAAGCUUUCCAGCAUGUUCAAAGGAAAUCUCCAAACUGACUUUUACCAUGCUGAAAAGCCAGGUUAAGUGCCAUUAGUGUUUUGGGGGGUUUUUUUCCCCUCUUCCUUCUUAGCAGAGUAAUGUUACCUUUAAAGCCUUUCUGAGAGUUUCUGCUCUGAUUUUGUUCCCAGCAUUCCAAGUCUUGUGGUCUGUGGCUUACAGGCAAUGCCAGCGUGGCCUGAUGAACCUCCCAAGCAGAAGAGAUGAUUUCAUAGCCCUUCACAUGCAUUGCCCCAGCGAUCUUGGAGCCAGGCAUUGUUACACUUCGAAAAAUCUGGUCCUGGCUCUUGCCAGAAGGUGGUGGAUUUCCUUGGAGAUUCAUAGAUUGUUUUGGCUGGAAGGGAACUUUAUCAUCACCUAUUGUGACCCCUCACAUAAUCCUUUCAUGUAGGGAUAAUGCCAGCAAGCCUGUGACUUGGAUUUGGACUUGGAACUAGCCCUUCAGAAAGGGUUUUGAUCCAGCCAUGGUGCUGAGGGCUCCAGUGAAGGACAAAGAAGCUUUUGCCUCCCCAGGUACAUCAUUCUUCUCGGAGCAUCGUGGUUUCACAGACAAGCUGUGAAUUGGGAGGCAGGAGGGAACAGGGGAGGUGAUGUGAACAAGAGGCUGGGGGGAUAUUUCUGAUGCUGCCACUUCAAAAAUAAGUAAAUUUUCACAGCAUCUUCCUGACAGCACAGCAAAGUGAGGACAGCAGUCAUCCAUAGUGAUUUGGAUAGUUACAACACUGGUCAUCAAAUUCUUCUGACCAGGGGCGUGUGAGAUCAGACACAAUUGUCUUCUCUCCCAAAUAAUUCAGCUCUGUCUUCUCUGGGUAUGCCACCACCAUUUCUAAUCUGCAGUGAGUUCUCAAGCUCUGGGAUAAAUGAGACCUGAUUAUUUUCAAUAGAAGAGAGGUGUGAGCAGAGGGAACCUCCUUGUGCACACACCAGCAGCUUUUGGCACUGCAUUAUAACAAAAGCUGGAAGAGCUGCUGUCAUUGGCAUUGGGAUGAGCCCUGGCUUGUCCCCACUGGAUUCUUUACAGGAAUUGCAGACCCAAACUGAACGGAACUGUUUUUUCCUGAGCACUACUGAAAGAUGCACAGGUUUUACUGCCUAGAAGUGAGGAUGGGGCUGCAGGGAUCAUGUUGUUAUGGGAUUUGGGGACCAUCCUUCCAUUCUGUAAACACAGAUGGAGUGAAACUGAGUCAUGCAGUCUUUGUUCUGAUCAGUCAGCAGGAUCUGAUUUGUCAGUCAGAGAAGUGCCACCAUUUUUGGUUUGGUGCCAUAUUGGGGAAAAUAAAUCCAUGAGGGAGAAUGCCACAAUCAGGACAAUUUUUGCUAUUGUAACUAUUCCUCUUCCUUGACGGGGGUGCCUGGCACACAUCCUCGUGUACAGUGUCCCUAGACACUGACUUCAACAGAAACUCUGAUUUUAACUUGUGUUUCAGGGCAAGACAGAAAUUACCAGAAAAACAAGUAUCAGGAGGAAUUUUUUGGAGGACCUUCCUGCAAAGUGAGGUGCUCUGGAGGAAAAGGAGUUGUCAGUUCUGUGCUUAACCAGCAGAGCUCUGGAGUUUGUGCUUUUAGGUCUCGCUGAAGGCAGUAAGUUCCUGUGUGUAACUGCCCAGCUGAAUGGGAGCUUGUGUUGAUUGAAAAGUGGGACAUUGCAGGAAAUUACCUUUGUAGGCAGCCCUGAGUGCUAAUCUGAACUAAAUAGGAUACAGCAUGAGCCAGAAGAGCACAAGCCAGGCCUGGACACAGGCAGGGAAAGGCAAGGCAACCUGAGCCAUGUGUGCCUCUGCUUUUCCCUCCUGCCCGGGGGUUGUAUGGCAUGGCAGUUGUCAUGCCAGUGAAGGUUUUUAUUCUUGGUUUUUGACCCACAGUGGGAUGAGCAGGAAAUGGCAGCAGUUGGAAAGCAGUGAUGGCAGAGCUCACUGGCAAGUCUUACAUGUCAGCACCUGCCAGCAGCUCCCAGCCUGUUGGUCCAUGGCUUGGUUUCCAGGAAAGAAGAAAAUCCUGGUGAGGUUUGGACACUGCUGUUCUAAAUUCUGCUCUCUGGUGUUAACCCCAGAGCCCUCACUGCAAGCACCAGCAUAGCAUGGGAACAGCAGCUUGAUUUUGGGGUGGAGUGUGACUGCUGUAUUGAGGUUGUCUUUGCUGUCCAAAGGACCCUUGUAGCUCUUGCAAUUUCAUGUUAUGUGGAAGUUAGGGAGUUCCGGGAGAUUGCCAAAUCUUUGGAAUAUGAAACUUACUUUCAGCUCCUGUGAAGUGGGAAGCUACUGUUGGCAGUCCCUGGUCGCAGGGGCCAGGUCACACCUCUGUGCUGUGUGUGGAGCAUGAGGGGAUCUGCUCAGGUGUAAGGAGAGAGGUACCACACUUCCCCAGGGUCACUGGAUGUGGCUCCAAAUUCCUCAUUUGGAGAUUAAAUUGCCUGAUCUCCCCUCAGACUCUUUCUUCAUCCCUGGGACCAGGCUCAAGGCAUGCUGCAUAUCCCCCUCACCUGGGGAGCAGUACCUGGGCAGGGCCACCUCACUGCAGUCUGUAAUUACACAGCCACAUGGCUUUUUCCACAUUCAGUGUCAUUGGUGGAUGUGAAGAGGUUGCACAGAAAACUGACUCUGGCUUUUCCACAGCUUCAAGUGACUUCUUCCCUACUGAGAUGAGCCUCGUUAGGAAGGUUGAAAUGUAUUUACAGACAUUCACAAAGAGGCUGAAUAUACUUAGAGAAAUGUGUGUGCAGUAACUCCGGCUUUACAAUAGGAGGUUGAUUUAAUUUUCCUCUUACACAAAUCUCAGAGCAGUUUGUCUAAUUAAGGCUUUCCAAAGCUGUGUAAAGUAGGGUGUUAUUAUGCCCAUUUUAUGCAGGAGAAAGAGAAGCAGGGGGCAAACCCUGUUGAGAAUAAAGUCCUCUUGUAUUCUGGGAAGCCGAGAGUGAGUGAGGACAGGGAAGGACUUGCUGGUAUUCAGGAGAAUCCCAUUGUUUCAGGUGUGCUUUGGGAUUGCAGAGUGUUCCUUUCCUACCUGCGAGGUCUGGCUCCCCUCGGCUGGGCCAUGGCGGCUGCACAGUUCCAGGUGCCUGCACACAGCUGCCUUCCUCCUCCAGCAGUAGGACACGCAUUGCCUUGGAUCAGGGCUCUGAGGCUGCACAUGGCUGGCUGCUUGUGUGGAGGCUGAGUGGUGUGGAUGCUUUCCUACUGAGUUUGGGAUCAAAGCCUCCCUAAUGGGAUACCUGAAGGUGUAGACAGAGGGAGGGGCAGGAACAACUUCAGAGAUAAACUCCAUCGUGUGGGAGGGUGGAGGCUCUCGGAAUGGCCUCAGGAAGGAGUCAGGCAAUGGCAUGUUAUCUUUGAGGAGCUCAAAUACCGGUUUUCUCCCUAAGGAAAAUGAGGAAAGACACUUUUUUAAUGUUCCUAGUGUGGCAGAAGCCCUACCCUUAAUAGACAAGAAUCCACGCAAGGGUGACAUGGUUUGAAUGCCCCAAGCCUAGAAAAAUCUUCACUGGCAGCUCAUGCCUCAUUAGGUCUAACAGAAUCUGCUGUGCAGACAAGGGUUGGCCUCUUCAGGAUGUGAUGCCUGGAGGUGACAUCAUCCCCUGGUGCUAAAAUCUUUAAAAGCCUGUUGAGUGUUGUACUCUCGUGGGUUUUGGUUGGGGUUUUUUUUUCCCCAGUACUAUAAAAUGUUUGGAUUUGAGAUCACUGAUGCCAGCUUUUACAUUUUAAAGGUUCAGGCUGUUUGUUGUUUUUUUUUCUAGUCCUCAGCUGCCCAUGUCCUGGUAUCACUGAGGAAUCUCAGCUCUUCUUUUGUGUGUCUUAUAUCAGUAGAUUUCCAGACCUUGUGGCAGUACAGAAAUGCUUAGGAAAAUGCAUUUAGAAUAUUCCACAAGCCUGGAAAGCCGAGGCAAGGAGAAGUCACCAAAAACAUGAUUAAAAAGAUGAGAAUCUUGACUUCUGUCAUUUUAUCUUUUCAAAAUUCAAGGCAGAAGGAACUUGUUAUGUACUCUGUUAAAAUUUCUAUAAAAUCUUACCCAAUUUUGGUCUAAUCUAACCUGGGUUAGCAGAGAGGCUGUGGUGGGAAGGCAGGGCUUGCUGCUGUUUUGCUGAGCGUGCUGUGCCUGUGGAGGGGAGCUCCAAGCUCCGGUCGAAUCCAGUGACAAAGAAAAUGGCUGCAGCAGCUGAGUCGUUCUUCAAAACAUGAUACAAGUGCUGUGUACUAGGAAUAUCACUGACAUCCAAGGAGGCUGAGACAAGAAGAGGAGAGCUACCACAGGAAUGUAAUCAGAGGCAUUAACACUGGUUGAUGGCAAGAUCUGGAGAGCGGGAUGUGCACAGGAAUGAUCUGGCAGGGCUGAUGGUGGAGGAGGGCUGGCUUGUCCCUAUGGAUGAGAUAAUAUUUAGUCAGCCAUGUACAUACUGUGUUGCUCAUAACCAGCUCCUCUGAAAGGACCAGAGCUCAGGGGCUCUUAAAAAGUUAAUGAAAAACAGGGAAAACAGAAGAGUUUUAUGUGUCACUCAGGUGUGAGUUUUCCUGCGUGAGACUUCUUGGAGGUCCAAAUAGUCUCUUCUCAUAGUGUCUUGUCUUGCUGGGCCAGAACGUGAAACACACAGAAACUGCUCCCAAACUGUAAUACAAUGGGGAAAAUCAAGUUGAGGUCAACAGAAUCUUGAUUUCUAACCUUACAUUGGUUUAGUUUUGAGGCUUUAUAAGAUUUUAGAAGUAGUAUCUUAAAUUAGAAUUUCUAAUUGAAUCAAAAAAUUUCCUGUACAAAAUGAUGAACUAUUUACGUAUUCCAGCCACUUUGAAGCAGCAAACCUUUCCCUGUAAGAACAGGAACAAACUGACCUUUUCUGACCAGAAGCACAUUCCAAUAAGUUGCCUUUUCUUAUUAAAAAAAAGCCAAACCCAAACAACUAAAAAGAAAACAGUCCACCAAUUCUCUGCUGAGUCCAAACCUGGGGGAUCAGCUCCCAGGAGAGAAGACAUCAUACAAAGUAGUCCAAGUGUGAUGUGUCAACACUGAUAAUGGUAUUUUUACCUGAGAGACCUUUGCUGUUCCAGAGAGCCAAAUCUCAAAUGUGCUGGCGCAGCACAGUUGGAAGCGUUGCACCAGGCUGGGCUGUGCGGUGCAUCCCUGUUCAGGGCUGUGUCCUGAUGGAGUGUAGGAGGAAAAAGUUCUGAGAUCACUGAUCACUGGGAAAUUUAUCCAGUAACUUCCUUCCUACUGUUACCUGACAAACUUGUCUAAAAUCCCUUGUACCUACCUGUACCCUCCUGACAGCAAGCGGAAUCCUUAAAGGCUGCUCUGAAAUUCUUGCUUACAGCCAGAAAUACAGUUACAAUUUGUUGA